CAAAAAUGUCUGUCUUCAGAGCUGCUGACAGCAAAAACUGUAAUAAAGAACAAAAUACAGGCAUGCUUCAUACAAGCAACAGUGUUAAUGAACUGUCUGCAUGGCUUGCAGCAGGUUAAGAAUAUUAAGCCUGUGUUGCUGCUAAGUAUGGUAGACAUAAAGCAUGCAUUUUGUGCAAAAAUUGUUAAAGGUGCUUGUGGUAGUUUAGUCUAGGCCUUCCUUGGUGACCAGUUCGUAACCGAGGAAGUGUCCAGAUUUACUCAGUAUUCCCUACGAUUUUUACGUAAGCCAGGCUAUAAGAAGAAAGGAGGAGAGGCCUUCGCUCUCUUUCUUUCCGGCAGGUUUGGAGGUGCAGGUUCCCUGCUGUUGAGUCUGUCGGGUUGGGGAGUGAGGCCUGGUAAGGCCUUGCCAACCUUCGGAGACGGAGGUUGCUGGCACUCGUUCCAGCGCGACUUUUCUGUAGUCACAAGGAGAGUACUCUCAGUGUCUGAAAUGGCUCCUCAAGAAGCUUUCUACCUUCACUCCAGUUUUGCAACUGCUGAUGCCAAAACAUUGGUCCACAAGCAGGAAGAUAUCCUUGGAAUGGCAGCAUUUUCAAUCAGACUGUCC